rnacentral:rRNA from 1 species
AUACGGAGGAAAAGAAACCAACUGGGAUUACCUUAGUAACGGCGAGUGAAGCGGUAAAAGCUCAAAUUUGAAAUCUGGUACUUUCAGUGCCCGAGUUGUAAUUUGUAGAAUUUGUCUUUGAUUAGGUCCUUGUCUAUGUUCCUUGGAACAGGACGUCAUAGAGGGUGAGAAUCCCGUUUGGCGAGGAUACCUUUUCUCUGUAAGACUUUUUCGAAGAGUCGAGUUGUUUGGGAAUGCAGCUCAAAGUGGGUGGUAAAUUCCAUCUAAAGCUAAAUAUUGGCGAGAGACCGAUAGCGAACAAGUACAGUGAUGGAAAGAUGAAAAGAACUUUGAAAAGAGAGUGAAAAAGUACGUGAAAUUGUUGAAAGGGAAGGGCAUUUGAUCAGACAUGGUGUUUUUUGCAUGCACUCGCCUCUCGUGGGCUUGGGCCUCUCAAAAAUUUCACUGGGCCAACAUCAAUUCUGGCAGCAGGAUAAAUCAUUAAGAAUGUAGCUACUUCGGUAGUGUUAUAGCUUUUUGGAAUACUGUUAGCCGGGAUUGAGGACUGCGCUUCGGCAAGGAUGU